rnacentral:rRNA from 1 species
AAACCAACAGGGAUUGCCCUAGUAACGGCGAGUGAAGCGGCAACAGCUCAAAUUUGAAAUCUGGCGCAAGCCCGAGUUGUAAUUUGCAGAGGAUGCUUCUGGGCAGCGGCCGGUCUAAGUUCCUUGGAACAGGACGUCAGAGAGGGUGAGAAUCCCGUAUGUGACUGGCUUGCACCCUCCACGUAGCUCCUUCGACGAGUCGAGUUGUUUGGGAAUGCAGCUCUAAAUGGGAGGUAAAUUUCUUCUAAAGCUAAAUACCGGCCAGAGACCGAUAGCGCACAAGUAGAGUGAUCGAAAGAUGAAAAGCACUUUGGAAAGAGAGUUAAAAAGCACGUGAAAUUGUUGAAAGGGAAGCGCCCGCAACCAGACUUUGCGGCAGCGUUCGGCCGGUCUUCUGACCGGUUUACUCGCUGUCGUGAGGCCAUCAUCGUCCGGGACCGCUGGAUAAGACCUUAGGAAUGUAGCUCCCCUCGGGAAGUGUUAUAGCCUCUGGUGAUGCAGCGCGUCUCGGGCGAGGUCCGCGCUUCGGCAAGGAUGAUGGCGUAAUGGUUGUCGGCGGC